UAUACAGCUUAUGAAGACUUCACUGCUGCAUCACUUGCUAUAAAGACUACCCGCAAGGACACUUAAGUUGAUCUUUUAUUUUUGUAUUUACUUAUUCCGUUGGACAUUUUUACUUGUAGUUACUCUAUUUUAUUCUCCUAUUGGCGCAGCCUUUUUAUUGUUGUUUUUAUUGUCUUGUUUUAAAAGGGCCUGGAGGGUUUCCCUUUUUAAGGUUGCUGCCUGUUAAUUAGCGCUGUCUCUCUCUCCUUUAUCUAUUUUUACGUGUAAAC